rnacentral:lncRNA from 1 species
UAAACUAGUCAUUCAACACCUAAUGCAUCAAGUUGUCAUCAACUUGUCCAUUUUAAACUAGAUUAAUUAGAAUGAAACUAAAGAGAAACCUUGCUGUUACAGCAAGCAUAUGUGCUGCAGCAUGUCAUCAAGCUGCAUGCACUUCAACCACAAAAUGUAACAGCAGCAUGGUUGGCCAAUUUCCAAUACUCCUCCUUGGACUCCAUGCUGCAAAUACCAGUCAUUCAUCAAGUUUUUUGAACUUGGCAGCUCUUAGAUGCUUUGAUUCAAGCUGACCAAUUCAUUUUCUUCUUGCACAAACAGUUCGUGAGUAUAGUUGCUUGCCUUCAUUCUGCCAUUUUGGCUUGCAAUUCGACAGGCUCACACUUUGCUUACUGUCUUCAAGAGGCUUGCAACUAUACAACACGCAUUGAGCUUCCACAUGUUGCUGAGCUCACACCUUUGACAGACUCACAUCUUUGCAUAUUGUCUUCAACAGGUGUCUUCAUCAGGCUCGCACUUUGCUAAGCUUGCAGCUUUGACAUCUUGCUAAGCUUGCACAUUUGGAAAGCUCACACCUUUCCUUUAAACUCCUCCAGCUUAUUCAAGCUAGUUUGGGGAUCUUAUAAGUUUGAGCCGAUAUUAUCUUCUCUACAAGCAGUCCUUAAUGACUUGCUUGUGCUUUGACAGCUUCUUUCUUUUCAACAAGCAGGGGAAGCAAAAUCAAUGGUCUCGUAAGACAUAGGCUCAUGAUACCAAUUGUUGGUGCAAGAGGCAGCAACAAAAGAGAGAACAAGAGCACAGAACAUGAAGCAAGGUGCAAGAAGCAUUUUUACUUGCUCACAAAUGUGCAGCAAGGGAGCUAAUGGCUGAUAGCUCAUUCAGCUCAUUCAUUCAACUAGAAAAAACAUACAUUUAUAGUCAAAUACAUCACCAAAUAGUCAACUAACCCCACUAAUCAGCAUUGGGACUAUUAAAACAUUGCUUGUACACAUAAACAAGCCCCCUAAACUAGUCAUUCAACACCUAAUGCAUCAAGUUGUCAUCAACUUGUCCAUUUUAAACUAGAUUAAUUAGAAUGAAACUAAAGAGAAACCUUGCUGUUACAGCAAGCAUAUGUGCUGCAGCAUGUCAUCAAGCUGCAUGCACUU